rnacentral:rRNA from 2 species
GGGACACGUGGUAUCCUGUCUGAAUAUGGGGGGACCAUCCUCCAAGGCUAAAUACUCCUGACUGACCGAUAGUGAACCAGUACCGUGAGGGAAAGGCGAAAAGAACCCCGGCGAGGGGAGUGAAAAAGAACCUGAAACCGUGUACGUACAAGCAGUGGGAGCCUCUUUAUGGGGUGACUGCGUACCUUUUGUAUAAUGGGUCAGCGACUUAUAUUCUGUAGCAAGGUUAACCGAAUAGGGGAGCCGAAGGGAAACCGAGUCUUAACUGGGCGUUAAGUUGCAGGGUAUAGACCCGAAACCCGGUGAUCUAGCCAUGGGCAGGUUGAAGGUUGGGUAACACUAACUGGAGGACCGAACCGACUAAUGUUGAAAAAUUAGCGGAUGACUUGUGGCUGGGGGUGAAAGGCCAAUCAAACCGGGAGAUAGCUGGUUCUCCCCGAAAGCU